UGGCGGCGUGCCUAAUACAUGCAAGUCGAACGGCUUUUCUAUGGAAGCUUGCUUCCACUGAGAAGAUAGUGGCGAACGGGUGAGUAACACGUGGGUAACCUGCCCAUAAGAGGGGGAUAACAUCCGGAAACGGGUGCUAAUACCGCAUAGUUUUCUUGAUCGCAUGAUCGGGAAAGGAAAGACGGCCUUUGUGCUGUCGCUUAUGGAUGGACCCGCGGCGUAUUAGUUAGUUGGUGAGGUAACGGCUCACCAAGACGAUGAUACGUAGCCGACCUGAGAGGGUGAUCGGCCACAUUGGGACUGAGACACGGCCCAAACUCCUACGGGAGGCAGCAGUAGGGAAUCUUCCGCAAUGGACGAAAGUCUGACGGAGCAACGCCGCGUGAGUGAAAGAAGGUUUUCGGAUCGUAAAACUCUGUUGUCAGAGAAGAACAAGUUGGAGAGUAACUGCUCCAGCCUUGACGGUAUCUGACCAGAAAGCCACGGCUAACUACGUGCCAGCCGCCGC
rnacentral:rRNA from 1 species